GUGCGCCGUGCGACUGGGCGGCGGUGCCCGGAGCGGACGCCGCGGGGAGGAGCCCGGCCGGCUCCGCGCGCAGACGGUGCGGCCACGGGCCAGUCCGCCGGCCGGCGGGGCCCGUCUCGGGACGGCAGGGCGCCCUGGGCGAACCCGCGGAGGAACCGUUGUAGAAAACGAGCAGCGGGGCGCCGGCUGUGCGGGGCGGGAGGCCGGAGACGGAGGAAGGAGAGACGGAGUUGGCCGGGUCCCUCGGCGGGAGAGGAGCGGGGGCGGCCGGCCGCGCGCUCCUGACCCUGUGAAUGGGACUUAAAACCAAGAAGUGUUCCAUUGGUGUUUAUUGAACCGAAUGGGAACGUGUUUUCAAGAAAGGCGGGUCGUCAGCCUGUCAUCAUCAGAUUUACAGAGAGAUCAAAGUCUGUGUUGGCCAAGCGAAGGCCCCGGGACCGUAAGGGAAGGAGCGUGCCGGCAGCUUUGGAGGCAGUUUGAGCAGGGAGCGCGGGAGCACGUCGCUGUAGUUCCGGAGGAGGAGGGUUGUGCUGUUGUCACACACAGACAACAGACACACGUUCUGCGCAGAUCACGCGCUGGGCCACUUUGGCAGCGGAGGGAAGAGGUAUGGAGCACGGGGUCCUGGGGACGAGUGCCACUUCGAGUCCUUGAGAUGAGAAAGCCCCGGCGUGUUUGUAGGCAAGGCGGCCACAGCGGCAGCUCCCGCGGGGCUGGGCGGUUAGUGAGGAGCCCAGGUAAGCGCUCAUCUGCAGGCCUGGGCCCCAGGGUGGGGGGGAGGAGACAGGGACCGCGGGGCAGGACAGGGACUGUGCGACAGCACGGGGGCUGUGGGCCAUCUCCCAGCCCUCACCCUCCACUGGCUGUGCUCCUUCGGCUCACUCUGGUUUGCUGGGGACUCUGUCUUCCGCUGCCCUUCCUCCUUGACCCCUGUCAGGGAGGCGUCUGUGCCUGGGGUUUAAGGCACCUCGAUGCUAGUGACUGAUUCUACGUCUGGGACGGAAACAUCUCUCCGGAGCCUCGCAUCUGUGUGUCCAGCUUCACCAGUGGCUCGGUACCUUUGUGAAUGAAACCGGUCAUUCCUCCUUAAUUCUUCCUCCUGGCUAACGGUCACGGGGGUUUUGCAGUCGUCCAAGCCACAUAAAUGUUUUCACGGCUCUCCCUCCCCCUCCCCACACAAGCACAUGUGAGUAAGAACACACUUGUAUUUUGUGGACUCUGUUUCUUUUGACUUCCUACUGUCGCAGCACUGUAUCAUGUCAAUAAAUUUUUUUUUUUACA